rnacentral:sRNA from 1 species
GCCAGGUGUGGUGGUGCACCCCUGUAAUUCCAGCAGCUUGGGAGGCUGAGGCAGGAGGAUCGCAAGUUCAAAGUCAGCCUCAGCAAAAGCAAGGCGCUAAGCAACUCAGUGAGACCCAGUCUAUA